rnacentral:tRNA from 1 species
UGGCGGUUAGUUCAGUUGGUUAGAACGUCGCCUCUGAUAAGGCGAAGGUCGAUGGUUCGAGUCCAUCACUGCCAA